UUGGCGUGUGUGUGUGUUUGUACAGCUAUCAUUGUGAGGACUAGUGUGAAUUUUUAACCCUUGGAGUGAGGUCCAACCUACCUUUCACUACAAUGAGGUCAUCUAUAUGCUUCUGACAAAAUUUCAGACUGGACCUCACAAAGACAGUAAACCCUAAAAAAAAUUGUUUUCUGAGUACACACACGUUUUACUCUCUAUCACCACCUAAUGUACUGUACCCAAGUGAGAAAAAUGAUCCUUUUUUUUGUUUUUUUUUUUUGCCUCUAAAGGCCUGAGCCAGAAAAACAUGUUUUGCUCUCCGUCUCCCUCUUUGGUCGUUGCAGUUACUGCACCCAAGCGGCCAUUGCAAUAGGAGGAGACAGAGGAGUAAGUUGAAGCAUGUUGUAUGGAAUGUCAUGGUAGUUUAACAUUUCUCUCUCAUUUUACGAACAAUGAAAAAAUAGUUUGAAUUUAAUUGACUUACAUUUAUGAUAGUGAGUCUCAUAACCUUAAACCUCUUUCAAUGUAAACUUCUCGUGACUUGAAUUCUGACUUGUGUUUCUUCUCCAUGUGUAAGCUGCCUGUGAGUAAUGUGUGUGAGGUUAUGGCCAAUCAGACAGCAUAUUAAGCAGGUUCAUUCUCUGUUUUACUUCUCUUCAUUUUCUGUUUUUUUUUCUCUGCACAGUCAGUGCACAACAGAAGCAUGUACAGUUCAGAAUCAGAAUCAGUUUUGUUGUUACUGUACACAAUAUAAUGUCAUUAUUACUGGUAUUUUUUAAAAGGAAUUAUAGAAUUUAAGCACACAGUAAAUACGCAAACAGAGUAUGACAGUAUGAAAAUAUAAAUAAGGAAUUUAAAUAAUUUGUGGUCACAUUACACUACUGUUAUCACUAGGGCUGCAACAACGAAUCGAUAAAAUAGAUAAUAAUCGAUUAUUAAAAGUGUUGGCAACGAAUUCCAUUAUCGACUCGUAUCGCACGAUUCAUGCAUCACUCGCCAUGUCGUAGAGCCGUCUACUUCACCUGCAGAGCUUUGCCAAUGCUGGCUGACGGAAAUGAAGUUUUGUUUUUUUGAAAAAAAAAAACCUCCACCUGCAGAGCGAGUUGAACAGAGCGAGGUGGAGGCGGAGCGGAGGCGGUAUUUUCAAAGGAAAAGUAAAUUCAACGGAACGUGCCUGACACGAAGAAAACUGUUUGUCCUCAAAAAUGUGGGAGCAUUUCACGCUUCACAAAAAAAAACAUGUAACAUGCGAGCUUUACAAAAGUGAUGAGAUGUCACCGGAACACCACGAUGACGAUAGAGCACCUGAAACGCAACAUGUCACGGAUGAGGAUGAACAGAGCUCAACAGCAGGGUAAGUCACUGCACUGUCCUACGUUUGUUCUGUUUUAAAGUGAGGAAACGUAACUUCAGUCUCUCUGCUAGCUCGCCUGAUGCUAGCGUUUGCUUGUUCGCUGAUUAAUGAUAGUGAUAGGGUGUGUGUGCGUGUGUGAUACUUUUUAUUUCACUUAAAUCUGCUUAACCCUCCCGUUUAAAAGUUUGAAAAUGUGGAAAAAUACAUACAGUUGAGGUCAAAAGUUUACAUACACUUGUAAAGAACAUAAUGUCAUGGCUCUCUUGAGUUUCCAGUUAUUUCUACAACUCUGAUUUUUCUCUGAUAGAGUGACGGGAACAGAUACUUCUUUGUCACAAAAAACAUUCAUGACGUUGGGUUCUUUUAUGACUUUAUUAUGGAUUAACAGAAAAAGUGACCAAAUCUGCUGGGUCAAAAAUUAGGCUAGUGCAUUCUCCUGCUUCAGUUGUGAGACCUCAGCCUUACUCAGCCUAAGCUGAGCCUGGUCUUCGCUCUGGAUGACCGGUUGUUUGGCCCCGGCCUCACUUUGGACCACGUUGGCCCGUGUUGUGGUUGGAGCUGGUGUCUCUGAAGUGGUGAACUGAAUUGCACGUUCUGCUUGUUGUCUCUGAGACAUUGUGAGACCUGAAUCUCCAGAAAUGAAGAAAGUUUGUCGUUUGUCGAUGCUGGUCGCCUUCCGAUCAUUCGAAGAAAACAGCUGCACUGACUCUUGAAAGUACGUGAAAGGUUCUGACCUGCCUCAAGUUUAAAGACUUUCAACACAGCCACCAUUGAUCAUUUGCCUUUGACGUUGCCUAGCAAAAGGGAACACACACACACACAUUCAGAACUUCAGGAUCAGCAGAAGAUUCUAGAACUCUGCUUCUAGAAUGUUCCAUCUUCUCUGCUAAACCAGGAAAUCUGUGUGUGUGUGUCGUCGUGUGUAUUCUUCAAUUAUGUCAACAACCGUUCAUCCGAUCCAUUCCAAACUUGGUGUGUCAGUCGCUGGGGUCUUGAGGAAAUGCAGCGUUGAGUUUGAAGCAAAUCAGAGGAAGGAGGUUCUCAUUGUACAUGUAAAUAUCAGCAUUUUUACGUUUGCUGUUUGUUGGCACCACAGAGAAUCACUGAGUCUGAAUAAAUCUGCAUGUGUGUGUAAAUGUGUGUGUUUGUGUGUGAGUUUGCGCUUGUAUGUGUGUGGUCUAACGGUCGCAGCGAUGAAUUUGAGUGUGUUUGUGUGUGUGUGGGUCCACCAUUGCUGCUUCUAACGUUAGAGACAAAGUUCCCGCCCUUGGUCCUGUUGUUCUGGUGACCUGGUGGUUUUUGUUUUUGUGUCUUGGACAUGGGGACUGGGGGGUUAGAGCUGUAGUGUAGUGUAGUGAUGAGAGGGAUACGUUUAGAUUAACACUGUAACUGGUCAUUAGGACUGUUUGGGGACAAAUUGAGGGUGAAACCAACAAGACUUAUCUGAAUAGACAAAAGAGUAUUAAUUUGUUUUGAGGAGAAAGUCUUCUUCAUGUUUCUGUUUUAUUGUGUAUGUUUUGUGUUGGAGAAAUUACUUGAGCACAUCUUGUAUUAAACCCAGCCUCUAAUCAUUUAAUUUGGCCAAAACUAAAAAAAAACUCUCUGGGUCUCAUUCUUGAUUAGAACCUUUAUUUGAUGUCUAUUAUCUAUUUAGUAGUUAUGUUUAGAUUCACGAACCCGAGCACCCACCAUUCUCAAGAAAUCCUUACCAUAGAGUGGCUGUACACGGGUUACAACAGCAAAUCGAUUAAAUUGUUAAAACUGAUCAUUAAAACCGUUGGCAGCAAAUUUUAUUAUUGAUUUGUUAUUUUGCUUGAUUUAUGCGUCACUCGCCAUGUCGUAGAGUCGUCUACUUCAUCGACAGAGCUUUGUCAAUGCUGGCUGACUGAAAUACAGUUUUUUGUUUUUAAAAACUCCACCUGCACAGUGACUUAAACAGAACGAGAUGGAGGCAGAGCGGAGGCGGUAUUUUCAAAGGAAAAGUAAAUUUUGCAAAUGAAACAUGACGAUCACGGAGAAAACUGUUUGACCAAAGACCUCAAAAGUGUGGGAGCAUUUCACGCUUCACAAAACAAAAACAAACAUGCGUAACAUGCAAGCUUUGCAAAAUGAGAUGGCACAGGAACACCACGAUAAUGAUAGAGCACCUGAAACGGUAUCAUGUUUGAGUCACCGAUGAAGGAGCUCAUCAGCAGGGUAAGUCACGACAUCAUCCUCCAUUUGUUCCGUUUUAAAGUGAGGACACGUAAUGUUUGUCUCUCUGGUAGCUCGCCUGAUGCUACCAUUUGUUCGCUGAUUAAUGACAGUGAUAGGGCGUGUGUGUGAGAUACUUUUUGCUAAGCAACAGCAACUGUCUGUCAGUUAGCAUCCCAGCUAACUGAUUCAGAUAAUAAAGAACAUUAACCUCCAACAAACCCAACAUUUUAGAAGGAUUUUUGUGGUCGUUUUGAGCCACAUUUUGGUCAUUUUACGUCAUUCUCUACCAUAGUCUGGUUGUUUGUGAUUUUAUGGUGUUUUUAGGUAUCACUUAGAUGUUUUUAUUUUUUUCUUUCCAAUCAAUUUGUGUCACAUUUUGGUGGUUUUACAUUAUUUUGUGGUUGUUUUGGUUUUCACUCAACUAUAGCUGCACGUAUUGAUUUUAAUGACAGUAAUUACCAGGUGAAGCAGAUCAGGACACUGGAGCUGCUUUUUAAUUUUGUUUAAUGUUUUAGUUGUUUUUAGUGAAAUUUUGGCCAUUUUCCAUCAUUUUGUGGUCAUUUUGCACCAUGCUUUGGUUGUUUUUAGUGACGCUUUGGUAAUUGAUGUAAUUUAUUGGCCAUUUUGGUGCAUGUUUUCGUUGUUUUUAAUGAUGUUUUGGUCAUUUUACAUCAUUUUGUGAUUGUUUUGCAUCACAGCUUGGUAGAGUUUCACAACAUUUUGAUCAUUUAUUGUCAUUUCAUGGUGAUUUGUACCAUGUUUUGGCUGUUUUAGGUGAUGUUUUGGUCAAAUUGCAUCAUGUCAUACAAUGCUUUUAUUAUUUUUAGUGACAUUUUGGUCAUUUUGCAUCAUUUUGUGGUCAUGUUAUACCAUGUGUUGGUUGCUUUUAGAGAUGUUUUGGUCAUUUUACAUUAUUUUGUGGUCAUUUUGUACCAUAUUUUGGUUGUUUUUUAGUGACAUUUUGGUCAUUUUCAGUCAUUUUGUGGUCAUGUUAUACCAUGUGUUGGUUGCUUUUAAAGACGUUUUGGUCAUUUUCAGUCAUUUUGUGGUCAUUUUUUUACCAUGCUUUGGUUGUUGUUAGUGAUGUUUUGGCCGUUUCACAUAAUUUUGUGGUUGUUUUCUAUCAUAUUUUGGUUGUUUUAUGUAUUUUGCUGGUGUUUUUAGGUCAUAUUUUGAUAAUUUUAUGUGUUUUUUCAACUCUCUAGUCAUUUUGCGUCACAUUUAGGUCGUACAUUAUUUUGUAGUUGUUUUGUGUCAUGGUUUGGUUUUCACUAAACUAAAGGGUUGUACCUGCUUUGAUUGCCAGGUGAAGCUGAUGAGGACUCUGGAGCUGCAAAACGUGCAUUAAAAAAUGAUAAAUCUGGACCCACUUCUCUGGACUUCAAGGACCUGGAACUCUGGAAAUAUUCACAGUAUGAAGGUCGGUGUUUAUUUACAAGCGGCUUUGUCCAGAUGAAGUACAGAAUCUGUCGGAGUGAAUCAAUAAACCUCCUCCUGGUCUCCGUCCUCUGAGAGCAGUUUAUCAGCUCAACACAUCGACUCGCUGCUGUUUAGAAGCUGCAUUUAGUGAGGAACUGAUUUGAAGCUCGAAGGUCAAACUGAUCAAUAAGUUCGAUCUGCGUCUCUCUCUGUCACAGUGGUUCUAAUUUACUGGACAUUCAGUGGCCUGAAGGCUGCAGAGGAAAAGGUCAGAAGGUCCAACAGAGGUGGUUCAAACAUGGAGCUCUACAGGAAGAGUCUGGACCUCAGUUCCUCUGUGGACCAAUAAACUGAUGAGGAAACAUGGAUCAGAGGCGUUUUGCACUCUGUGGCCGCUGCAACAGCUGCAGCUGAUUAAGAUCAGCUGCUGGAUUGAAGGCACGUGCGGUCCCAGCCAAUCAGCCUCCGCCACCACGACCACAAAAGCCGACGCCACUCGUCCUCGUGUGCUGGAUCGUGAAAAGCCACUAUUAUUGAUCAGCAGCACCUUCUGAAUGCCGUCUGAGAUCGCUCCAUUCUCCAUUUGGAUUCCUCCGAUGCCACACGGCAACCACCUACCGUUCCGUCCAGCGUCCAUGCCAGCCAUCCCCUCCGUCACAGUCAACCCCAGACUUCUCCACGGCCGGGACCCAGUCCAAGCAUCCAGAGUCCUUUGAGUUUUUCGUUUACGUCUAGUUAUCUUUCGAGUUUAGUGUCUCAUUCUGAGUUGUACCAGCCUUAAGCUGCGCUUUGAGUUUAUCCUUGCUUCUCGCUUGCGUAUUGAGCUAAGUUUUGAUUUUGAGUGAAAUUCUGUUUAAUCUUUUGAGUUAUCAGCCAUUGGCUUUGCUUUUUGUUAUCCUUUUGGUUUUGUUUAAGUUUACAGUGCUUCAGUUCUUACCGGAGAAAUACUUACCGUAAGUCUGGGUUGUCAUUCGUCUUCCUAGCCACUAGUAGCAGCAGCGAGUCUUCUACCACUCUGUAGUUCCGCUUAGCCUCUGUCUGCUAACUGAAUCCUGUGUUGAUUAUUAUAUUUUUGGCAAUAAAGCCUCUAAAUCUUACCACUCGGCCUACCUGUUCAUUCCCUGCAUUUGAGCUCACCUUCUGAAACCCUGACAACUUUAAAGGCCUCCACCUCCCUCCUCCUUUUCCACUGUUCAUUGUAUUAGCAGGAAAACCUGAAGUGGUUCUUUGAGUUCUACGGACUGAACUGAAAAGAAGAGAUCAGGAAAACCAGCAGUGGACCUGUUUUGUUGGAUCACAUCCUUUGUUGAAAUAAAUGGACAGCAGUGACUUUUGAAAAGUUUUGUUGUUUUUAUUCCUGUUCUAUGAUUCAUUGACUUAAUGAGACUUUAACUCAUUAUUUCACUGUGUGGAACUCAGAGUUUGUGGUAAAUAUUGAACAUAUUCCAUGUAAACUGACAGCAGUAAUAUGCUCUGGAAUGUGAUUUGUCUUACUGAAAUGAACAGGGUUUGACUGAUUUAUUUUGAUCUGUGUGUGCUAGCAUUAGGAAUUAAGUUUGAGCUAAAAUGUGGCAAAAAAAGGUAUACUAUGUCAUAAGAAAACAUUAGUACAGUAUAUUACAGGAAAUAUCUUUGUACAGUUUGUCACAAAAACAUCAGUUUAGUGUGUUGACAAGAAAAACAUCAUAGUAAAGUCUGUGAUAAUAAAAUCUCAUAGUAUAACAUGU